AUUGAACGCUGGCGGCAUGCCUUACACAUGCAAGUCGAACGGCAGCAUGGAAGAGCUUGCUCUUCUGAUGGCGAGUGGCGAACGGGUGAGUAAAGCAUCGGAACGUACCGUGUAGUGGGGGAUAACGUAGCGAAAGUUACGCUAAUACCGCAUACGCACUGAGGUGGAAAGCAGGGGAUCGCAAGACCUUGCGCUAUACGAGCGGCCGAUGUCAGAUUAGCUAGUUGGUAGGGUAAAGGCCUACCAAGGCGACGAUCUGUAGCGGGUCUGAGAGGAUGAUCCGCCACACUGGGACUGAGACACGGCCCAGACUCCUACGGGAGGCAGCAGUGGGGAAUUUUGGACAAUGGGCGCAAGCCUGAUCCAGCAAUGCCGCGUGCAGGAG
rnacentral:rRNA from 1 species